rnacentral:rRNA from 1 species
AUGAUUCAGCUCUUUCUGCAAGUGCCGACAGACGACGGCAAUGUUGAUACAGAUGCUGUGAGGGCGAGGAGAUCACUUCUGGAUAAGGCUGAGUCGGUGAUCAAGUCGGUUGUAAGGUCUGGAGGCCGGUAUGAGGCUCGGAUGUGGCUGUGCAGUACCAUCUCGUCGAUUCAUCUGCUCGAUCCGCGUGACCAGCGGGACCUGUUCCUCGAUCUCCUGGAGAUGAAGGACUCAAGGCGGGACGUCGCCGCCCGCCUGCUGCGGAUGAUUUUCGACAAGAAGCCUGUGAAGGCUGGCUCUGUUUUAGCGAAGAAGUGUCAUAUGCUGGAGAAGUUCUUCCAAGGAAACCCUGAGCGGAUACUGCAAUGGUUUUGCCACUUUGCUGCUACUGGGGAGUCAGCACACAAAAAGGGUGCUCGGGCACUUGCUCAGUUUGCAUUUGUGAAUCGUGAUGUUUGCUGGGAGGAGCUUGAGUGGAAAGGCAGGCAUGGUCAGUCUCCUGCUGUUGUUGCUACUAAGCCUCAUUACUUUCGUGAUCUUGAUGUUCUCCAGACAGUGGAAAAUUUCCUUGAAUAUGUCCCAGACUUCUGGUCUUCAGAAGAGCUUGCUGAUUCUGUCAAAGAUGGUGAAAUACUGCAAAUUGAUACAGAAUAUUUUGUAGAUCAAUUUGUCUAUUUGAUGUAUGAGGGGAAUUUCAAAGAUGUGUGGCAAGUAGUUGAAGAUUUUCUGAUGGAGGAGCAGUUUUCCACUCUGUCUCAGUAUAUUCUUAUUCAUCUAGACGAACAAAGGCUUCUUCAUUUCUUAAAAACAUUAGGGAAGCUCAUCAGUCCGAAUGCACAAUGCACAAAGUUAGCAUUCCCAUGCUGCUGGCUUGAGGUUCUUUUGUCGGCACAUAUUGAUCAGAUAUCUCUUGACGAACUUAUCCUAUUGAACUGUGUCAUUGCCAAGGGUAGACAACUUUGGCACCUCAUGAACGACGAAGAACACGAGGAAGAACGAAGGAGGAUGGACGAGCUUGUGAGGACCAUGAAUGACUUGACUGAUGCUGAUCAUUUUGCUCUCAUAAAGGAUUUCAUGGGUACAAAGUUUCCUGAUGCACUUAAGUGGAUAGGCAUCCAGUCCUGGGUAAUUUUCUGUGGUUUGUCAAAAUUAUGCAAAUCAGCUGAUUCUUGUGAGUCUCUGUUCACUGGUAACAGCAUAGAAUUUCGCAAGGCUUAUGAUUACUCAUUGGUUCAAAACGACGGGUGCUCAGUUUCACAUACUUCAGAUACUGAUGACAAGGAUCUGACUAGAAGUAGUCAUAAAAAAAGAAAAAGAGAUAAGAAGAGAAGACGGCAUAGAUAUGAUUCCGACGAGGAUAAUGUUGAUCAGCUGCUUGAACUGGGAACUUUCACUGGGAAGAGGGCUAUUGAAUCACAAUGUGGAAGCUGGUACCUGUCAACUGAUGACUUCUCUGCUCCUUGGGACAUUGCUGACAUACCGGAUCACCUUUCUACUUGUUAUCUUAGAGUAUGGCUGAAAUGGGCUUGCUUUAGAUGA